AGUGCUGAAAGGUUGCUAUGGAAACCGUUCCUACUGCUGCCAUAUGCCCGUGGCAGACAAUACAAAAAACCCAGAGUCCUCUCCGAGGCAGAAUUAGCAUACAAUCUCGGGGAUCGCUGAAAUUCAGCAGAAUUUUAAUAGAACAGCUGGGGAAAUUAAUCUAGGUAAGAGGCUCGCCAGCUUCCUGCCCCAAGCAGAAAUACUCACCAACAGCCCCGGCUGAAAAGCUGUCGACAGAGGAGACUCCAGCUCUCAGCGCUUACUGAGGGAUGGACAAUCCAUAACAUCCACUGGUGGAUUUCAGCCUGCUGCGCAUUCCUUACACAACUCUGGAUUACGCUGUGGACACGCCUGACAAAGGACACAAGGAUAAACCAUGGACAUAUUCAUCACUGGCUUUGGACAUCCAUGCAUAUUCAUCCACCGCACAGAAAGAGUCUGCCCUCACUCGCUAAUACACAACAUAAAAAGCAGCUGGGAUGGGGUUGAUUUCAGCAGCUGCUGCUCCCCACCAUGUCUAAGCUGAUGUUACUGCGUGUUCUCAGCUUCCCUGCUGCUAGCUAAAUCACCAUUUAGCCCCGUGUCUGGGAGUUCCUCGCUGUGACUCCCAGUGGGCCAUUAGCUGUCUUGUUCCCUUCAGAUCACCAAAGAAUCUAGUGGGCCAGGAGGCCAGGAACUCCCGCAAAGGGUCAGGAAACAGCAGCCGUUUGGGGUUCACACCACUUUGCUCUACAAGUUUAACCAGACCCACCGAUGGGGAGAGGCAGAGGGCAACUGCCCCAAGGCCUGGCAAUUCAAAAGGGCCCAGCUUUCAUGGCAUUUGGCAUCAGCUUCUUUUAAUCUCUGAUGUUCCCUCUCCUGCUCUCAGACUAGCUUCCCACACUAUACAGUGUAUAUAUUUGCUUCUCCCACACCAACAGACUAUUCCUCUGGAAAUCUGGCUAACUAAAAUCAUGCUGGACCACAGAUGUUCCUGGACCAGAAAGUGCUGGGCUAGAGAGGUUCAGCUUAUACAGUGAAGUUUGCUGAAACUGAUGGAGGGAAGCCAACAUACAUUUAUCCUCCUCAAGAGCCACUCAAUCCAAGUCCAUCAAACAAUCGCCUGCAAACCCAAUCAUGCGGAGCAUGGAGAGUGCAUGAGGCAGAAAGCAGCGUGUGUACUAAAAUACACCAUUGUAUGUACAGCUCAAAAGAAGAAAGAACUCACUAAACUUUAGAAAACGAAGGAAAACAGAAGUGAAGGCACCAUGCGACUGAGCGAGCUGGACUGAAAACAAAAGACGGUGACCUCCCAGUUAUUACCAGCCAACGAGGAAUGCUUUUUACGACGUUAGUCCCAGGACAAGUCCCAUAUAAGUGUGAACCUGGCAGGACUGCUUCACAAUUCUGACAUGUCCAACUUCACAUUUUUCUGCAAAACAGAAUAGGAGUUGUCCCCAGAUCUUGCAUUAGAGACUCUCUACUUGUCCUGUAAUUGAACUACCAUGUCUCAGGCCCAUAGUAGGGCUCAAAGCUAUUUUGACACAACAAUCUUAUUCCAAAGGCACUCUUUAGCCAUCUGUUAUACACUGAUCCUGCUAUAUUCACAAGUCCUUAGCUGAGAGCUCUAACAAUACAGAACUUUCUCACGAGCUAGGGAAAACAUACAGAAGGGCGGACGGCUGGUAGUUGCAGAGACUCUGAAAAAAACCACGUGGACCAGAUUGUAAUUUUCCAACCAGAGCAAGUAAAGAAAUCCCAAAGAAGUCAUAGACAAGAAAACAGUCCAUUUUCACACUGCACAUUUUUAGACUGGAGUGUGCUAUAUUCAGUGCAUUCAUUUUUAAAUAGCUCCACACCUUGCCUCGGCAGCCUGUGGUCGACACAGCUAGAGAUCAGGUGUGAGAUUUAUAUUCUAAUCUGCAGACAUAGAGAUGGGUGAAGAUUUUCAAGUGACUAGUGACUUUGGGUGUCUCUUUGAGGCACUUACAGGGUGUCGAUUCUCAGAGCAUGGCUGAAUAUGCUGAAAAUCAGGCUCCUUUAUGGUGUUCCAGGCACUCAAAAAAUGUGAUGCUCAGAACCAUCAGUUGCUUUGGAAAAUCAUGGCCUUGAACCCCAGUGCCUGGAACCCAACUUGGCUCAUGUGGGAGUCAUGCCCACACUUAAUACGAGCUACUUGAAGCACAGAAAAGAUGCAACGCCUCGAAAUUCUCGUGCAUGAAGCCAAAGCUCCAUCCCAAAUGUUCUGCAGAGAAAAGUUCUGGCAAAACGCCUUCUCUGCCCCUCUCUGCUCGGUGGCACCCCGAAGGAGGCACAGUUGCAUCCAAAACGCCCAUGCAGCUGCGUUUCACAGCUUGUUAUUCAGAGCAGAACUGCACUUUGCCAUGUUCAGAAUUACUUCCCUGUAAAUCAUCAAAGGAGCUCGCAGCAUUUGUCAGGCAAUGCAGAAGCUGAGGAAUUGCAAGCGAACUGGCAAUAAACCAUCCACAGCUCACUUGACAUGGACUCUUCCGGGUCACAUUGGUUACAAAGGGGAACACUUGAAUUUUUUUUAAAACAGACAUUUCUACCAAAGAGGCAGCGUUCACGCAAUGGCUUAGCCCAGGUUUGGAUUCUGCCAUCCUUCCUCAUACUGAGCAGAACCUUGCUUCAGGAGCACAUCCUAUGGGAUUGUCAUGGAGUAAAGCCCCACUUGGCAUCAGGAUGGGUGCUAGACUCAUGACAGCUUUGCCUGAGUGAAGACUGCAAGCCUGGACUUUCAAUCUGCAUAGAUGUCCCUGUUCGGCAAAAUACGGGCACCUACCUUACCAAAGCGCCCUUCCAGAUUCUCUCACAAGCACUGAAUUUUCAAACUACUUCAUCACAAAAGAAACUCGGGACCAGAUCCUCACACAUAUUUAGGAUCCUAACUUGCACGGAACUCAAGAGACGCUGGGAGCUUACACAGCCUAGAGAACCAGAGACUCAGUUCUUUGAGUGAACAGGUUGUGACGGCGCAUUGGGGUCCCCUGCCUCCUGCACCCCCGUAGUGGCACAAACUGACUCCACCAGCCAGUAGA